rnacentral:rRNA from 4 species
UAGGUUAACGAGGCGAACCGGGGGAACUGAAACAUCUAAGUACCCCGAGGAAAAGAAAUCAACCGAGAUUCCCCCAGUAGCGGCGAGCGAACGGGGAGCAGCCCAGAGUCUGAAUCAGCUUGUGUGUUAGUGGAACGGUCUGGAAAGUCCGACGGUACAGGGUGAUAGUCCCGUACACCAAAAUGCACAGGCUGUGAACUCGAAGAGUAGGGCGGGACACGUGGUAUCCUGUCUGAAUAUGGGGGGACCAUCCUCCAAGGCUAAAUACUCCUGACUGACCGAUAGUGAACCAGUACCGUGAGGGAAAGGCGAAAAGAACCCCGGCGAGGGGAGUGAAAAAGAACCUGAAACCGUGUAC